GAUGAACGCUGGCGGCGUGCCUAACACAUGCAAGUCGAGCGAAGCACUUACUUUAGAUUUCUUCGGAAUGACGAAGUUUGUGACUGGGCGGCGGACGGGUGAGUAACGCGUGGGCAACCUGCCCUGUACAGGGGGAUAACAGUUAGAAAUGACUGCUAAUACCGCAUAAGCCCACAGCUUCGCAUGAAGCAGUGGGAAAAACUCCGGUGGUACAGGAUGGGCCCGCGUCUGAUUAGCUAGUUGGUAAGGUAACGGCUUACCAAGGCGACGAUCAGUAGCCGACCUGAGAGGGUGACCGGCCACAUUGGGACUGAGACACGGCCCAAACUCCUACGGGAGGCAGCAGUGGGGAAUAUUGCACAAUGGGGGAAACCCUGAUGCAGCGACGCCGCGUGAGCGAUGAAGUAUUUCGGUAUGUAAAGCUCUAUCAGCAGGGAAGAAAGUGACGGUACCUGACUAAGAAGCCCCGGCUAACUACGUG
rnacentral:rRNA from 1 species